GACGAACGCUGGCGGCGUGCUUAACACAUGCAAGUCGAACGGUGAAGCGCUUGCCUUUUUGGUGGGUGUGGAUGAGUGGCGAACGGGUGAGUAACACGUGAGUAACCUGCCCUCUUCUUCUGGAUAACCUCAUGAAAGUGGGGCUAAUACGGGGUAUUCCGGGUCUGUCGCAUGGCGGGUUUGGGAAAGAUUGCGCCUUUGGGUGUUUUCGGUGGGGGAUGGGCUCGCGGCCUAUCAGCUUGUUGGUGGGGUGAUGGCCUACCAAGGCGGUGACGGGUAGCCGGCCUGAGAGGGUGGACGGCCAGACUGGGACUGAGACACGGCCCAGACUCCUGCGGGAGGCAGCAGUGGGGAAUAUUGCACAAUGGGCGCAAGCCUGAUGCAGCGACGCCGCGUGAGGGAUGGAGGCCUUCGGGUUGUGAACCUCUUUCGCCAGUGAAGCAGGCCUGCUCCUGUGUGGGUGGGUUGACGGUAGCUGGAGAAGAAGCGCCGGCUAACUACGUG
rnacentral:rRNA from 1 species